rnacentral:misc_RNA from 1 species
GAGAAGUGCAUAUCAAAACUCAGUAAAUCCUCCAUUCUUUGAACGCACCUUGCGCUCCUUGGUAUUCCGAGGAGCAUGCCUGUUUGAGUGUCAUUGAUAUAAUCAACCUUCUCUUGUUUUGAGAAUGGUUUGGAUGUGGGGGUUUGCUGGCCUCUCUGAAAAGGUUUUCAGCUCCCCUGAAAUGCAUUAGCAGAACAACCUUUGUUCAUUGGUGUGAUAACUAUCUACGCUUAUGAAUCCCAGGG